AGCCAGCAGCCGCGGUAAUACGUAGGGGGCGAGCGUUGUCCGGAUUUAUUGGGCGUAAAGAGCGCGUAGGCGGCCAGCCAAGUCGUGCGUUAAAUACCCCGGCUCAACCGGGGCACGUCGUGCGAUACUGGAUGGCUCGAGGCCGGAAGGGGGAAGUGGAAUUCCCGGUGUAGUGGUGGAAUGCGUAGAUAUCGGGAGGAACACCAGUGGCGAAGGCGGCUUCCUGGUCCGGUCCUGACGCUGAGGCGCGAAAGCGUGGGGAGCGAACUGAAUUAGAUACUCAGGUAGUCCACGCUGUAAACAAUGGGUGCUAGGUGUCGGGGGUAUCGACCCCUCCGGUGCCGCAGCUAACGCAUUAAGCACCCCGCCUGGGGAGUACGGCCGCAAGGCUAAAACUUAAAUAAAUUGACGG
rnacentral:rRNA from 1 species